GACGAACGCUGGCGGCGUGCUUAACACAUGCAAGUCGAACGGAAAGGCCCUGCUUUUGUGGGGUGCUCGAGUGGCGAACGGGUGAGUAACACGUGAGUAACCUGCCCUUGACUUUGUGAUAACUUCAGGAAACUGGGGCUAAUACCGGCUAGGAGCUCCUGCUGCAUGGUGGGGGUUGGAAAGUUUCGGCGGUUGGGGAUGGACUCGCGGCUUAUCAGCUUGUUGGUGGGGUAGUGGCUUACCAAGGCUUUGACGGGUAGCCGGCAUGAGAGGGUGACCGGCCACAUUGGGACUGAGAUACGGCCCAGACUCCUACGGGAGGCAGCAGUGGGGAAUAUUGCACAAUGGGCGGAAGCCUGAUGCAGCAACGCCGCGUGCGGGAUGACGGCCUUCGGGUUGUAAACCGCUUUCGCCUGUGACGAAGCGUGAGUGACGGUAAUGGGUAAAGAAGCACCGGCUAACUACGUG
rnacentral:rRNA from 1 species